rnacentral:rRNA from 1 species
ACGAACGCUGGCGGCGUGCUUAACACAUGCAAGUCGAACGGAAAGGCCCUGCUUUUGUGGGGUGCUCGAGUGGCGAACGGGUGAGUAACACGUGAGUAACCUGCCCUUGACUUUGGGAUAACUUCAGGAAACUGGGGCUAAUACCGGAUAGGAGCUCCUGCUGCAUGGUGGGGGUUGGAAAGUUUCGGCGGUUGGGGAUGGACUCGCGGCUUAUCAGCUUGUUGGUGGGGUAGUGGCUUACCAAGGCUUUGACGGGUAGCCGGCCUGAGAGGGUGACCGGCCACAUUAGGACUGAGAUACGGCCCAGACUCCUACGGGAGGCAGCAGUGGGGAAUAUUGCACAAUGGGCGGAAGCCUGAUGCAGCAACGCCGCGUGCGGGAUGACGGCCUUCGGGUUGUAAACCGCUUUCGCCUGUGACGAAGCGUGAGUGACGGUAAUGGGUAAAGAAGCACCGGCUAACUACGUG